rnacentral:misc_RNA from 1 species
CCGUAGGUGAACCUGCGGAAGGAUCAUUGCCGCUGCCUCUCCAGAAACACGACCGUCGAACACGUGACAGAAUGCCGCCGCGGAGGCGCUCGCCGCCUCCUCGGCCCCACCGGCCUCCUCCCUCUCGCCCCCCGGGCGCGUCGGUCGCUGGUCGGAAUACGGCGCGGGAUGACGCCAAGGAACACGAUAAAGCCGAGGCACCGGCGAGCCGCUCAAGGGCCGCGCCGGCUGCCGAGGCCAACAAAAAAAAUACGACUCUCGGCAACGGAUAUCUCGGCUCUCGCAUCGAUGAAGAACGUAGCGAAAUGCGAUACGUGGUGUGAAUUGCAGAAUCCCGUGAACCAUCGAGUCUUUGAACGCAAGUUGCGCCCGAGGGACCCUCCCGAGGGCACGCCUGCCUCAUGGGCGUUAGAAGCCCAUCCACGCUCGGCUGCCCURUCUGUAUAASGGCAGAGAUGCGGAGACUGGCCCUCCGAGCCGCGAGGCGCGGUGGGCCUAAGUGUGCGGCCGUCGUACGUGGCCGGGAGCGGCGAGUGGUGGGCUACUGCGCACGUCACCCCGAGCCCCGUGYCGACGCGGGGCCUUGUACGACCCCCUAACGAGGAGCACGCGGCCUGCGCUGCGCGGCGCCUUC